GUGCCAGCAGCCGCGGUAAUACAGAGGGUGCAAGCGUUAAUCGGAAUUACUGGGCGUAAAGCGCACGUAGGUGGUUUGGUAAGUCGGAUGUGAAAGCCCCGGGCUCAACCUGGGAAUUGCAUUCGAUACUGCCUGGCUAGAAUAUGUCAGAGGGGGGUAGAAUUCCACGUGUAGCAGUGAAAUGCGUAGAGAUGUGGAGGAAUACCAAUGGCGAAGGCAGCCCCCUGGGAUAAUAUUGACGCUCAUGCACGAAAGCGUGGGGAGCAAACAGGAUUAGAUACCCUGGUAGUCCACGCCCUAA
rnacentral:rRNA from 1 species